rnacentral:lncRNA from 1 species
UAUGGGACCUUCCUGGGAAAUCUUGUACACAACCAGGUCUAACAGAAUACAUCUUUUACAUUGAAAACAAACAUACAGGAAAGCAUGGGGCAUUCCUAGGUAACCUACACAUAAUCAGACAAGAGUAACCAACUGAAUAACAUUACAUCUUUUACAAUAACUACACUUCAGGAAAGUAUGGGACUUUCCUGGGAAUACACUGAUACAUUAAAGACAUAAAACAAUGUACCGGAUAACUAAACCAUACAUUACUCUUAUGAAACAACAACCAACUUUUAAGAAAAUAUGGGAUUUUCUUGGUGUGUGUUACAUUUUCAGAAACAGAAAGGAAACAUAAACAUUUUCACAAAACAAAACUGCUUAUGAACUCACCAGCGUUAUGCUGAUUUUCAAAUUGCUUGUGUUCUCAGGUCAACGAUAGUACAGGUACCCGAAGACUUACUUGGUUAAGGAUCGUGUGCGUGCAAGGCUCGUUCAUUUUGUUUAUAUCUAUAUUAUGUAUCACAACUGUAUAAACUGUGUCUUUUGAAACAAAUUGUAAAACUUUUAAUAUGUAAUGUAAUGUUUGUUUCACUUUACUUACUAUGUACAUUGGAUUUGAUACUCAACGUGGAGUCAACCCCGAAAAUGUUUCCGCCUUCGGUUUUCGGGGUGUGACAGAUUGGUAUCAGAGCCCUUGUUUAUAGUGAAUAAAGUAUACCAAACCUUACAUGGUAUAAAACUAUAAACACUAAAAGGGCCUAAGUGCUCUGAAAUAAAAGUAUCUUCAGACUACAAGUAUUUUCAAAAAUAUACAAGUAUACCGAACCGUCGAGAUUCGUAUCUAUAAGUAGAACAAAACAUAAGUAAAUGGGUGUUGUGUAUUGCAGUUAAACCUGGGCAGUUAUGUAGUCGUGUCUAGGGUCAAUAUAGCCUGGCCAAUUAUAUUCAUUCGAGACACGGCCAACAUGUGCCUGGGAGUGAUUGUGAUAUGCGGCAUGCCUAAAACUUACCCUAAUACCCCAAACAUCGAGCUAGUAUCAUAGCAAACCAUGAAAUACUAUAGGAGUAUUUCUUAAAUCAUUGUGCAUGUUUAGACCCCGAACAUUUCGUUAUCGAUAGUUUACUUGCUUCAAUAACUCUUUCCUGCUAUACCACUAAAUUGGAAUUAAUACCUGUCAUAUCUCUCGAUUCAAAGGACUUAUCAUCCUCUCUCUUUAUUGAUCUUAUUAGAUCAAGAUGCCUCCCAGAAGAAGAUCCAACUCCAAAAACCCUCCACCACCUCCUCCUGAAAUCGAUCCCGUGUUAUUUCAAACAGCUGUUACCGCCGCGGUGGCAGCUGCCAUGUCCCAGCUAAAUACCGGUGGUUCAGGAGGUAGUAAUCAAAAUCAAGAUGGUAAUCAGGAACGCCGUAAGGAGGGUUCCUAUAAGGAUUUCAUGAAUGCGAAGCCUUCUUUCUUCAAUGGCACUGGUGGUGUCAUUUCCUCAUCCCGAUGGUUCGAGAGAAUCGAAUCCAUCUUCGAAAUUUGUGCCUGUGAUGAGGCCGAUAAGGUCAAGUUUGCAGCUUUUACCUUCCUUGAUAAAGCAUUGACUUGGUGGAAUGGCCGAGUCAAAUCCUUAACUCUCCCCGUAGCCAAUGCCAUGGGCUGGGAGACUAUGAAACAACUCCUCCUUUCCGAAUAUUGUCCUAGAGGCGAAAUGCAGAAGCCAGAGCACGACCUCUAGAACCUAAAGAUGAAAGGUUCCGACAUUGCUGCCUACACUNNNNNNNNNNNNNNNNNNNNNNNNNNNNNNNNNNNNNNNNNNNNNNNNNNNNNNNNNNNNNNNNNNNNNNNNNNNNNNNNNNNNNNNNNNNNNNNNNNNNAAAUCUCUAAGGUAACCUCCCUAGCAUGUUAAUCAACACCUUUAGACUUCAAAUUGAUAAACUAAUUGAGUUUUAGGACCAAGAACACGAGUUUACGGCCAAGGAGCAAGCUUGGGCCGUAAACUCCAUUAAAUGGGGUUUUAAGCUCUUAAACUCCUUCCUAAACUCAAUUGGACUUUAGAUAUGGCUAUGGGACUUCAAGAUAUGGACUUAGAACAUUUGAAACUUUGAUUUUGAGCCAUUUGAAGGAGUUUACGGCCAAGGCAUAAGCUUGGGCCGUAAACUCAUGUAAAAGGGGUUUUUCAUGCCCUUAAACCCUUCCAAAUCACUUCUAUGGCUUAGAUAUGAAUUAUAGGACCUUGGUAUUAGCAUUUGGACACUUGAAACAUAACUUUUGAGGGACUUAUGUGAGUUUACGGCCAAGGUGAGUGCUUGGGCCGUAAACUCCCCAAAACAAGGCAUAAUUUCAUUUCUAAGGUGUUAGAAAGCCAUCCAACACCACCAAAAGCCUUGGAAUAAAUCAAAGGACCAACCAAAAAUAGUUUAAGGGACUUAAUCACAUCAUUUGUGGGAUUUCUAAGAGUUUACGGCCAAGGCUUGUUCUUGGGCCGUAAACUCCAAGAUUUUUGGUGUUAGAAUGCAAACUAAACACCCCUAAAGCCUUUAGAUGAAUUUUAGAAGCCCUUCUAUGCAAGUUUUAGACCUUGAAACACUUUGUAUCACCAUAUAUAAGAGUUUACGGCCAUGAGGAGGGUCUCAUGGGCCGUAAACUCCAUAACACCCCUCAUAUGUCCCAUAAAACUCAUACUAGGUCUUGGAAUAAUCCUAUUAAUCACAUGUGAUUUGUUUUAACAACAUUUAACACCAUUUUCAUGAAGAUUAAGGAGUUUACGGCCAGGAGCCUAUAUUAGGCCGUAAACUCCCAUAAAAUAAUCAUUUUGAUGAUUUAAAUUCAUUCCAAGUGUUCCAAUGCAUUUUAGAAAAUCCAUUCUAGCAAUCCCCAUGUCCAUUUAAGCCCUUAGAUCAUCAAAACCACACCAACAUGAGUUUACGGCCGUAAACUCAUGUGUGGGUGUGUUUUAUGGUUGUAAACUCAUUUAAAUGUUUACUUAUGGAGAGUAAACUCAAGUCCCAAGUCCCUAGUGCCAUUACAAGUCCGAAGAUGUCACCCGGGUCACUCCAAACGCUCGUUUUGAGGUGUUUAACCUCAUUGGAGUGUAAUGUUCCAUAUGAUUAGUGAAUGUAUCUCUAAAUGUAUAUAUAUGGACAUUAUUUCAUUUUACAUAGGGACAUCGCGAGUAAUCAAACCCCGAACCAACGUCUAGUAUCCAAAACCGACACGUUUCCGAGUCCGGUGAGUUCAUACCCCUACCUUUUUCACUGUUUUUCACUGUUUUCAGGGGGGAACACAAGCAAAGUACAAGGGUUUUCUUGUACUCAAAACUUAUUUUUCGUGUGUGUGUUUCACAUUUCUUAUGCUUUUAAUACUGAUAUACGUAACUGAUAACCAGUAGAUCAUACAAUUCACUUAAACAUUUAUUUGUGAAAUGGAUUUUAUAAACGGUUAUGUUUUAUAUAUAUUUCACAAAUGGUUUCUACAUUUUAUCAGUUAAAAGCAUGACAUUAUAACACAUGAACAAUAUAAUUCGUACACUGUCUUGUCCUCGGUAACAUUCCACAGAGAUACGCGAAUGGAGGAUUAUCCUAUUAUUACUAGUAAAUUUGUUAUUCCGUAUGAUUGGAGACACGUCCUCGGCGAACACUCCACAGAGAUACGCGAGUGGAGGACUACACCCGUAACCAGAAUCUCUGGGAUUUAGAGAGCGUGACUUGAGUGUAUAGAUCUAUACGGGGCUGACUACCCCACACCUGGCUGCUAGCUACAGCCGAACCAAAAUGGUUCAAGGGUGACGAAAGUCAUAAGGAUUGUGGACCACUUAUUGCUACAAGGCUGUGGACUACUUAUUGCCACAGGUUCAGUCUUUAGUAUGGUUAUGGAACUCGCAACUAGGAUAACAGAGAUUUACUAAUAGUAAUAAUGAAUCACAUACUACAUUUUUCAAAUAACCAAGAUUCAGUUUACAUCUUUUACAUGUCUUACAUCUUUUACAUCUUUUACAUAUGAUAACCAAUCUUCAGGAAGGUAUGGGACCUUCCUGGGAAAUCUUCUACACAACCAGGUCUAACAGAAUACAUCUUUUACAUUGAAAAAAACAUACAGNCAUGGGGCAUUCCUGGGUAACCUACACAUAAUCAGAUAAGAGUAACCAAUUGAAUAACAUUACAUCUUUUAUAAUAACUACACUUCAGGAAAGUAUGGGACUUUCCUGGGAAUACACUGAUACAUUAAGACAUAAAACAAUGUGCCGGAUAACUAAACCAUACAUUACUCUUAUGAAACAACAACCAACUUUUAAGAAAAUAUGGGAUUUUCUUGGUGUGUGUUACAUUUUCAGAAACAGAAAGGAAACAUAAAUAUUUUCACAAAACAAAUCUGCUUAUGAACUCACCAGCGUUAUGCUGAUUUUCAAAUUGCUUUGUUCUCAGGUCAACGAUAGUACAGGUACCUGAAGACUUACUUGGUUAAGGAUCGUGUGCGUGCAAGGCUCGUUCAUUUUGUUUAUAUCUAUAUUAUGUAUCACAACUGUAUAAAUUGUGUCGUUUGAAACAAAUUGUAAAACUUUUAAUAUGAAAUGUAAUGUUUGUUUCACUUUACUUACUAUGUACAUUGGAUUUGAUACUCAACGUCGAGUUAACCCCGGAAAUGUUUCCGCCUUCGGUUUUCGGGGUGUGACAGACAUCC